rnacentral:rRNA from 1 species
AGGUGGCAAGCGUUGUCCGGAUUUAUUGGGCGUAAAGCGAGCGCAGGCGGUUCAUUAAGUCUGAUGUAAAAGGCAGUGGCUCAACCAUGGUAAGCAUUGGAAACUGGUGAACUUGAGUGCAGUAGAGGAGAGUGGAAUUCCAUGUGUAGCGGUGAAAUGCGUAGAUAUAUGGAGGAACACCGGAGGCGAAAGCGGCUCUCUGGACUGUAACUGACGCUGAGGCUCGAAAGCGUGGGGAGCAAA